AAGUUUUGAAUUUCAAAAGGAAGGAAAAAGCAAAGCUGUUUCAUAGAGUAUUGACAUUUAACAAAAUAGCUCACUUGCUGGAACCUGCUGAAGAAGUAACCUAACUGAUGUGCUUGAAAGUGCAAAUAUUUCUUGCAUGAUACAUGCUAUAAAAAUUCAUUUCUUAUUCUGCUCGAGGGAAGAUGCUGAAAUUGCUGUGCAUCCAAUGAAAGCUAAGCUUUAGCUUCUUCAUGGAGUGGUGAUGGGCUUCCAAGAAGGAGUUUUCCAAAAAUGCAAAACUGGAAGCUGCAUGGGCUCUUAUAGGCUAAACUUAGAAGGCACUUGUCACUUCUACCUCAUUCUUUUGGACAAAGCAACUCACAGAGCCAACUCAGAAUCAGAUUCAAAAGGAGGAAGAACAAACUGUGGCUUUGAGAUGAUAAGUGAC
rnacentral:lncRNA from 1 species